GACGAACGCUGGCGGCGUGCUUAACACAUGCAAGUCGAACGGAAAGGCCCUGCUUUUGUGGGGUGCUCGAGUGGCGAACGGGUGAGUAACACGUGAGUUACCUGCCAUUGACUUUGGGAUAACUUCAGGAAACUGGGGCUAAUACCGGCUAGGAGCUCCUGCUGCUUGGUGGGGGUUGGAAAGUUUCGGUGGUUGGGGAUGGACUCGCGGCGUAUCAGCUUGUUGGUUGGGUAGUGGCUUACCAAGGCUUUGACGGGUAGCCGGCCUGAGAGGGUGACCGGCCAAGUUGGGAUGGGAAUGCGGCCCAGCCUCCUACGGGAGGCAACAGUGGAGAAUAGUGCACAAUGGGCGGAAGCCUGAUGCGGCAACGCCGCGUGCGGUAAGACGGCCUUCCGUUUGUAUUCCGCUUUCGCCUGUGACGAAACGUUAGUGACGGUAAUGGGUAAAUAAGCACCGGCUAACUACGUG
rnacentral:rRNA from 1 species